UACGUAGGGUGCAAGCGUUGUCCGGAAUCAUUGGGCGUAAAGAGCGUGUAGGCGGCCAGAAAAGUCCGCUGUGAAAACUCGAGGCUCAACUUCGAGCUGUCGGUGGAAACUUUCUGGCUAGAGUCCGGAAGAGGAGAAUGGAAUUCCUGGUGUAGCGGUGAAAUGCGCAGAUAUCAGGAAGAACACCAAUGGCGAAAGCAGCUCUCUGGGACGGUACUGACGCUGAGACGCGAAAGCGUGGGGAGCGAACAGG
rnacentral:rRNA from 1 species